CACACCCUCUGUCCCUGAAUAGAAACCCGGAAUGUUGUCUAACGCCCUCUGUUAUUCCUGUAUGACAACAAAAGGAUGGAGACAGUGAAUUGCAGUGACCUGCUGAUUAGUACUUAGUACUCUUAGGUGACGGGUGGACAGGUGACCUUUUAGAAUAUUAUUUUUUUACCUGGGAAUGUACACCAUCUGUCCCUGCCUGUCUUUCUUGUUCAAGACUCCAUCCCUUUUUUGGUUGAGAUAGACAGAAGCAAGGGAGGAGAGGAGUAGGUAUAACGAGCACAAAAGAGGGUCUCACCCAUCGCUUAGGCAUUGUUGACUUUGGCAGAGAAAGCAGCACAUCCUUCCAUCUGAUCCAGAAAACUGACAGAGACACUAGUGCGAUGGUUGGCUGUGGUCCCUGGGUGGCAGUGUUGAGCCUGUUCUGCCUGCUCUCAGCAGGCCGACUUGAGGAAGUGGAUGCGGGUGGUUUGUGUACCCAGUACUCAGAGGGCAACUUUAUGGAAAUGACGGAUUUCUUUAUCAUGACCGAGAAGGAGAGCGCCUUUCACCUUGUGGAGGGGAAUGGGCUUCUGGAUUCUUUCGUGCUGUAUGAUGAGGAUGGCGAUCAUAGGCUUAACCUGAUAGAGUGUGAAUGGCUGGUCAAAAACAUCACCAUGAACCGUGAACCAUGAAAGUUAAAGUCACCUAUUUGAGCAUAACUUGAGUAAAAGUCUUACAGUAGCCUAUCUGAUCUAUACUGUACUCAAUCAAAAGUAAUUUUCUGAAAUGUAAAAGUACAAGUUAAUGCUGUUAAUAAAAAAGCAAAC
ensembl:lncRNA